rnacentral:lncRNA from 1 species
GGUCACAAUGGAUGGGACCCCAUAGGAAACCCCAUAAGUUAUAGGGUCAAUUAUGGGUUUUAGGGCCCCCUUAUGGGGUCUAGGACCCACUUAUGGGGCCCAUUGGGCCCUAUUAGGACCCCAAACCCCCUUAUAGGGUCUAGGACCCCCUUAUGGGGUCUAGGACCCCCUUAUAGGGUCUAGGACCCCCAAACCCAUUUAUGGGGCCCAUUGGAACCCAUUAGGACCCACUUAUGGGGUCUAGGACCCCCCUUAUAGGGUCUAGGACCCACUUAUGGGGUUUUAGGACCCACUUAUGGGGGUUUAGGACCCCCUUUAUAGGGUUUAGGACCCCCUUAUAGGGUCUAGGACCCACUUAUGGGGUCUAGGACCCACUUAUGGGGUUUUAGGCCCCACUUAUGGGGUUUAGGACCCACUUAUGGGGUCUAGGACCCACUUAUGGGGUUAAGGACCCCCCAACCCCCCUUAUGGGGUCUAGGACCCCCUUAUAGGGUUUAGGACCCACUUAUAGGGUCUAGGACCCACUUAUGGGGUUUAGGACCCCCCAACCCCCCUUAUAGGGUUUUAGGACCCCCUUUAUAGGGUCUAGGACCCCCCUUAUAGGGUCUAGGACCCACUUAUGGGGUCUAGGACCCCCCUUUAUAGGGUCUAGGACCCACUUAUAGGGUUUUAGGGCCCCUUAUGGGGUUUUAGGACCCACUUGUUGCUGUGAUGUUUGAGGUGUUUCUUGUAGGUCUCGUCCUGGAACAAGGUUUCGGGCUCGUACUUGUGGCUCCAUUCGUUCCUAUGGGGCUCUAUGGGGCCGGGCGGCUUCGCCUUCUUCCCUUUGCGACCCCGAGAAAUGGGGACGGAAAGGCCUGAAAUGGGCAAAAAGGAAAAGAAAACUUAUUAUUAUGGGGACUUAUGGGGCUGGGGACCCACUUAUGGGGCUGGGGACCCACUUAUGGGGCUGGGGACCCACUUAUGGGGCUGGGGACCCACUUAUGGGGCUGGGGACCCCAUUGAUCCCUAUGGGGACUCACUUAUGGGGCUGGGGACCCACUUAUGGGGCUGGGGAGCCACUUAUGGUCCACUUAUGUGGGCUGGGGUCCCCAUUGGCCCUAUGGGGUCCUCACUUAUGGGGGCUGGGGACAACACA